rnacentral:pre_miRNA from 1 species
UAUUAGGUUGGCACAAAAGUAAUCACAUUUUUUGUCAUUAUAAGUAAUGGCAAAAACUGUGAUUACUUUUGCGCCAACCUAAUA